UACGGAGGGGGCUAGCGUUGUUCGGAAUUACUGGGCGUAAAGCGCACGUAGGCGGCUUUGCAAGUCAGAGGUGACAGCCCGGGGCUCAACCCCGGAAUAGCCUUUGAGACUGCAUCGCUAGAAUUGUGGAGAGGUAAGUGGAAUUCCGAGUGUAGAGGUGAAAUUCGUAGAUAUUCGGAAGAACACCAGUGGCGAAGGCGACUUACUGGACACAUAUUGACGCUGAGGUGCGAAAGCGUGGGGAGCAAACAGG
rnacentral:rRNA from 1 species